CGAAAGCCUGUCCCAGUUCGGACUGGAGUCUGCAACCCGACUCCACGAAGUUGGAUUCGCUAGUAAUCGCGCAUCAGCCAUGGCGCGGUGAAUACGUUCCCGGGCCUUGUACACACCGCCCGUCAAGCCAUGGGAGCCGGGGGCGCCUGAAGUCCGGGACCGCGAGGACCGGCCUAGGGCGAAACUGGUAACUGGGGCUAAGUCGUAACAAGGUACC
rnacentral:rRNA from 1 species